UCCGGGAUAGUAUAGUGGUCAGUAUUUCUGCCUGUCACGCAGAAGACCCGGGUUCAAUUCCCGGUCCCGGAG
rnacentral:tRNA from 1 species